CUCGAUUAUAUAUGGUCUAUCCGCGUGCCCCUCAAAAUUAGAAUCUUCAUGUGGCAAUGGAUCCGUGGCCGGCUCCCCUCGGGCGUGGAGGUCCUGAAGCGCCAGGGUCCCGGUGACGGUAUCUGCCCCCUAUGUGGGACGGUAGAAACCUCGAAUCACAUCUUCUUCUCGUGCGUGUCCGCCCAGUUUCUUUGGGGCUGCCUCCGAGAGGUCAUCGGUGGUAACUGGUGUCACACUAACUUCCCCGAUCUCCUCUCUGAGGUUCAGACCUCCCCCUCGACAGGCCGCCACAUUAGGUGGCUGCUCAUUGGGGUGCUCGCUUGGACGCUGUGGACUGUGCGAAAUAAGCUUGUCAUUCAACGGGUCCCCCUUCGACAUGCUACUGACGCUGUGUUCAAAAUGUGUGGCUACUUGCAGCUUUGGCGGCCGCUUAGCCGUCACCAGGAUCGCGAUGCCAUCACCUCCAUCAUUGCCGACCUUCGCUCGAUGGCUCUCCGCUUGGCGCCGCCGCUCCCUCCGCCACCUCCUGAGCCGGAUUAG
rnacentral:rRNA from 1 species